AUUUAUUCAAUAAAAAAUCUAACUUCCAAUCUUCUUAAAAGCCAGACUGUAAAGAAUUGCUUAGAAUGUUACAUAAACAAAGAUUUGUUUAUUGUAACUUUGGAUUCAUGAGCUGGGCCUUCCAGUUAAACAACAAGUUGUUGCUCUGUAGGAAACACAUACUGUGAUAUUUAAAAAUUUAGAACAGAAUGUUUUGAAACUGAAAAAUAAUUAUCAUGUAGUUCAAAGCAAUCAAAUUUGGAUUGCAUCAGUAUAUUCUUUGGGGAAAGCAUUAUCAUAAAAAACUGUAUUGCAAAAAGGUAAUGGUUAUUUUUAAUAUGCAAUUAAUUUUCUACGAAUGUGCAGCUUGUGUACGCAGAUCUUUGCAUUUCACGGAACAAGAGCAACAGAAACGCAAAGAUCUACGUACACAUAAACUUCAAAAACAUAGAUCAAGGGCUAAUGUAUAGCAUUUGAAGAGAGCUGCUUCUGGAAUUUUGUCGGUCGUACUGAUAUUGUCUUAUUAAACGAAAGAGAAGCACAGACAUACCAUCAUCGGAACCUAGGAUUCCAUGUAGCGAAACAUACUGCAGCUCAUUUUCCAGUCAAGCCGUUAAUGUCAGUCGAAAGUUCCAAGUCCUAGUAUAUCUCAUGUAUGCUGAUGAAUUUGGCAUUGUAACUGCGUACCAAGAUGCUGCGCUUGAUUUAAAACGCAAUAUCAACUGUCUCCAUUGCUGCAAUUUUUGACAAGUAGAAACGCAAAUGUUUUUCUCAAUGCAGUGGUCACUCAUACUGCACGCCAAUUUGUCAGAAACUCGAUUGGCAACAACAUGGAAGGAUAGUGUCACGAUAUUCAAGAAGAUCCUGUUCUUUGAUGGAAAAAUCGUGCUGUCAAUGAACUAAGCAGUGUGGUGACGGGCCGGUGUGUAGCUGUAUUGCUCUCACGGUAAGACUUCACUUAUUGAUUACUAGUAAAAUAGCAUAGAAUAUUGGGAAUUCUAUUUGUAUGCGCAUUAGCUCGUGCUAAAAAAAACUCGUAGCGAUAAAAGAAAGCAGGCGAAUUUUUAAAAUAUGC